GACAGAGGCCUCGAGCGUUAGGCGGAAUCACUGGGCUUAAAGCGUGCGUAGGCGGUCUUGUUAGUCAGGUGUGAAAGCCCUCAGCCCAACUGAGGAAUUGCGCUUGAUACUGCAUGACUUGAGAGAGAUAGAGGUGGGUGGAACUGAUGGUGGAGCGGUGAAAUGCGUUGAUAUCAUCAGGAACACCAGUGGCGAAGGCGACCCACUGGGUCUCUUCUGACGCUGAGGUACGAAAGCUAGGGGAGCAAACGGG
rnacentral:rRNA from 1 species